GGUCACUGCUCUCAGUGUUCGACUAAGCCAUGCAAGUCAANUGUUCUUCGUGAACAUGGCGAACUGCUCAGUAACACGUGGAUAACCUGCCCUUGGGACCAGCAUAACCCUGGGAAACUGGGGAUAAUUCUGGAUAACCCAUGAAUGCUGGAAUGCUUCGUGGGUAAAAUGGUUUCGACUGCCCAAGGAUGGAUCUGCGGCCUAUCAGGUAGUAGUGGGUGUAACGUACCUACUAGCCGACGACGGGUACGGGUUGUGAGAGCAAGAGCCCGGAGAUGGAUUCUGAGACAUGAAUCCAGGCUCUACGGGGCGCAGCAGGCGCGAAAACUUUACAAUGCGGGAAACCGCGAUAAGGGGACACUGAGUGCCAGCAUAUUAUGUUGGCUGUCCACAUGUGCAAAAAGCAUGUGUUAGCAAGGGCCCGGGCAAGACCGGUGCCAGCCGCCGCGGUAACACCGGCGGCCCGAGUGGUGAUCACUAUUAUUGGGUCUAAAGGGUCCGUAGCCGGUUUGAUCAGUCUUUUGGGAAAUCUGACAGCUCAACUGUUAGGCUUCCAAAGGAUACUGUCAGACUUGGGACCGGGAGAGGUAAGAGGUACUACAGGGGUAGGAGUGAAAUCUUGUAAUCCUUGUGGGACCACCAGUGGCGAAGGCGUCUUACCAGAACGGGUCCGACGGUGAGGGACGAAAGCUGGGGGCACGAACCGGAUUAGAUACCCGGGUAGUCCCAGCCGUAAACGAUGCUCGCUAGGUGUCAGGAAUGGUGCGACCGUUUCUGGUGCCGUAGGGAAGCCGUGAAGCGAGCCACCUGGGAAGUACGGCCGCAAGGCUGAAACUUAAAGGAAUUGGCGGGGGAGCACUACAACGGGUGGAGCCUGCGGUUUAAUUGGAUUCAACGCCGGGA
rnacentral:rRNA from 1 species